UACGAAGGGGGCUAGCGUUGCUCGGAAUCACUGGGCGUAAAGCGCACGUAGGCGGAUUGCUAAGUCAGGGGUGAAAUCCUGGAGCUCAACUCCAGAACUGCCUUUGAUACUGGCGACCUUGAGUCCGGGAGAGGUGAGUGGAACUGCGAGUGUAGAGGUGAAAUUCAUAGAUAUUCGCAAGAACACCAGUGGCGAAGGCGGCUCACUGGCCCGGUACUGACGCUGAGGUGCGAAAGCGUGGGGAGCAAACAGG
rnacentral:rRNA from 1 species